GAUUCCUUGAAGAAGAGCCUCAAAAUUUAGAGUGAGAAAGUGUAAACUUUGGUAAGAACUUGGGCCCGAGCGAGACGAAGAAGUAAGUUGCCUGAUUUCUUUCCAGAAUAAGCGAAGGACUUCAGGCUAAGCUGGGAGUGAGAUUGGACUGGUGCUGAUGGGGGAG